rnacentral:sRNA from 1 species
UCCCCUGGAGCACCACGUCUUAAGACGGUC